AAGGCAGCAAGUGGAGAAUUUUAGACAAUGAAAGAAAAGCAUGAUCCAACCAUGCCGCGUCCAGAUGAAGGCCUUCGGGUUGUAAAUUGUUAUUGUAUUGAACGAAACGCCCCUUUCUAAUUAAGAGGACUAAUGACGGUACCGUAAGAAUAAGCACUGGCUAAUUAUGUUCCUGCAGCCGCGGUAAUACGUAGGGGGCAAGAGUUUAUCGGAAUUACUGGGCGUAAAAAGUUGCAGGCGGUUCUUCCUCAGAUGAUGCUGAAAUCCCCGGGCUCAACCUGGGAACUGCAUCUGUGAGUGCAUAACUAGAGUACGGUAGAGGGGGAUGGAAUUUCGCGUGUAGCAGUGAAAUGCGUAGAUAUGCGGAGGAACACCGAUGGCGAAGGCAAUCCCCUGGACCUGUACUGACGCUCAUGCACGAAAGCGUGGGGAGCAAACAGG
rnacentral:rRNA from 1 species